GCAAGGAAUGUUUGAAUACCAGAGAACACGACCCAUUAAGGUGUAGCAUAUUAGCAUGACAACCAUUGGAAUACCAUAGAUAUUUUAAUAUUACCUUUUCGUCAUUGUGCUUGAGUACAGUAAGCAGGGCGCUGCUAGCAAACAACUUAUCACCCAUAUUAGUAACAGAAUGAUCCGUACUUUUCGUCUUGAUGUUCGUCUCUUCAAAGGGCAAAAUUUUAUUAAUUUAAAUAAACAAAGUUCUGAAGAGUCAAAAUCAACAACGGCACCGGGGAUCAUUUUUUAAGAUUGCUUUUAUGGACGCCAUUUUUAAUGUUGUUAAAAAAAAAUUUUAUUUAACAAAAAAAUAUUUUUGUACUUUUCAUAAGUUUAUAAAUAAACUGUAAAAAUUUUAAAUCGAUUGCUCUUUUUUUAAACCUUAAAAAAAAAUCCAGAAAACAACCUUAAUUUGAGGGUUCUAGACCACCGGGACCCCUUAACAUACAUAUGUGUGUAGGUACAUAUCAUGCGGGUCCAUGGGGCUUAGAUCAAAAAAUAACAGUUCGUUGCCUUUUAUUGUUCAAGGAAAAUGUUGUUUAUGGGCUAAUGUGUAACAUAUUUAUGUAUGUAUUCCGUUAUGUUAUUU